rnacentral:ribozyme from 1 species
CCCACCAUUUUUGAAACCAAAAAUAGCCGGUCGUUCGUGCAGACGAUGGCUGAGGUUUGUCGGCAACUUGAUGGUUUGGUUCGGAAUAUUGUGGCCACCAGGAGAGAAGGCGUGCAGCAGCUGGACAAGCUGCUGAGUCUCGGCCGGGAGAUCGUCAGCAACAUCCUUCCCAUCUUGG